GAUUAUUGGGCGUAAGGGCUCGCAGGCGGUUUCUUAAGUCUGAUGUGAAAGCCCCCGGCUCAACCGGGGAGGGUCAUUGGAAACUGGGAAACUUGAGUGCAGAAGAGGAGAGUGGAAUUCCACGUGUAGCGGUGAAAUGCGUAGAGAUGUGGAGGAACACCAGUGGCGAAGGCGACUCUCUGGUCUGUAACUGACGCUGAGGAGCGAAAGCGUGGGGAGCGAACAGGAUUAGAUACCCUGGUAGUCCACGCCGUAAACGAUGAGUGCUAAGUGUUAGGGGGUUUCCGCCCCUUAGUGCUGCAGCUAACGCAUUAAGCACUCCGCCUGGGGAGUACGGUCGCAAGACUGAAACUCAAAGGAAUUGACGGGGGCCCGCACAAGCGGUGGAGCAUGUGGUUUAAUUCGAAGCAACGCGAAGAACCUUACCAGGUCUUGACAUCCUCUGACAACCCUAGAGAUAGGGCUUUCCCUUCGGGGACAGAGUGACAGGUGGUGCAUGGUUGUCGUCAGCUCGUGUCGUGAGAUGUUGGGUUAAGUCCCGCAACGAGCGCAACCCUUGAUCUUAGUUGCCAGCAUUCAGUUGGGCACUCUAAGGUGACUGCCGGUGACAAACCGGAGGAAGGUGGGGAUGACGUCAAAUCAUCAUGCCCCUUAUGACCUGGGCUACACACGUGCUACAAUGGACAGAACAAAGGGCUGCAAGACCGCAAGGUUUAGCCAAUCCCAUAAAUCUGUUCU
rnacentral:rRNA from 1 species